rnacentral:snRNA from 1 species
GUGCUUGCUUCGGCAGCACAUAAACUAAAAUUGGAACGAUACAGAGAAGAUUAGCAUGGCCCCUGCACAAGGGUGACACGCAAAUUCGUGAAGUGUUCCAUAUUUUC